rnacentral:rRNA from 1 species
UACGGAGGGGGCAAGCGUUGUUCGGAAUUACUGGGCGUAAAGGGCGCGCAGGCGGCUGCUCAAGUCAGGCGUGAAAGGCCUGGGCUCAACCCGGGAAUUGCGCUUGAGACUGGGCUGGCUUGAGUGCGGGAGAGGAUGGUGGAAUUCCCGGUGUAGCAGUGAAAUGCGUAGAGAUCGGGAGGAACAUCAGUUGCGAAGGCGGCUCUCUGGACCAGCACUGACACUGAGGCACGAAAGCGUGGGGAGCAAACAGG